GACGAACGCUGGCGGCGUGCUUAACACAUGCAAGUCGAGCGGAAAGGCCCUGCUUUUGUGGGGUGCUCGAGUGGCGAACGGGUGAGUAACACGUGAGUAACCUGCCCUUGACUUUGGGAUAACUUCAGGAAACUGGGGCUAAUACCGGAUAGGAGCUCCUGCUGCAUGGUGGGGGUUGGAAAGUUUCGGCGGUUGGGGAUGGACUCGCGGCUUAUCAGCUUGUUGGUGGGGUAGUGGCUUACCAAGGCUUUGACGGGUAGCCGGCCUGAGAGGGUGACCGGCCACAUUGGGACUGAGAUACGGCCCAGACUCCUACGGGAGGCAGCAGUGGGGAAUAUUGCACAAUGGGCGGAAGCCUGAUGCAGCAACGCCGCGUGUGGGAUGACGGCCUUCGGGUUGUAAACCGCUUUCGCCUGUGACGAAGCGUGAGUGACGGUAAUGGGUAAAGAAGCACCGGCUAACUACGUG
rnacentral:rRNA from 1 species